UUCUAGUCUCCGUGAGAUAUGUUUGAUUUUCUUGGUCGUUGUGAAUGAUCGACCGAGAAUCGAACAUAUUAUUACGGCGAUUGGAG
rfam:Atta colombica isolate Treedump-2 unplaced genomic scaffold scaffold145, whole genome shotgun sequence.